GGAGAAAUGUCCGAGUGGUUUAAGGAGCGCGCCUGGAAAGUGCGUAUACCCCAAAAGGGUAUCGUGGGUUCGAAUCCCGCUUUCUCCGCCA
rnacentral:tRNA from 1 species